UAUUCGGAGAAUCCCUAAACUAUUAUACUGUGAACAUUACAUUAGUUGAAAAUUAUUUGUUUUGCCGUGAUGCUGUACGCAUGUACGAAGAAAGCGAUCCUGUGUUGAAAACCAUUCUGUGUGAACUCAAUAUUCGUACAUCAUUAGAUAACUUUAAGGAUAUUUUUGCAAUGAAAUCUGAUUUGAUACAAUUGCAUUCGUAGAAAAGAUCGGAGCUACAAUCGACUAUUGUUAUUCAAAUAAUACAAAUUUGUAACAAGGAAUGACUUGGAGAUGUCCUCGGAACAUCCUUAGGACGUAAAAACAUCUUCUGGACAUCUUUAGGAUGUCCCUUGAAAGUUUAUGUUGUCUAGAAUUGUUGUUACACUUAUUCUUAAAUAUAAAGAUUACUGUUUACUUUAUUUACAAUAUGGAGAGUGAAAAGGAUUUACAUGAACUUACAGUGCACAUGUACACAUUGGUAGAAUUUAUUGGUAGAAUUAACAAGAGGUCGACGGCCUUUAAUGAAAAAAAUCGAUAUUGUUCCAACUUUUUGGGUGGACUACAAUAACCAAACUAAGAAAUUUAUUACGAAAUUUUUAAGUCCACCAUAUAUAUCUGAAAAUGUAAAUAAAUUACAUCAUAUGGUAAAAAUUUGUGAUUAUCCAUUACAAGAAUGGCCUGUAUAUUCAGUGAUUUUAAAAGGACGUGCUAAGACAUAUGAAGAAACAUUAGAUAAACUUGCACGUUUAGAAAAAGAACAUGUAUUUACAUUGGAUAAUACUCUGAUAAUACUUCACCAGAAAAAGAAGUCGAAAUUAUCAUAAAGCAAAAUAAAUUAAAAAAUCAAGCUGAAGAUCUGAAAAAGAAAUUUGUAGUACAUAAAUUAGGUUCCACAUCUUGUUCUCAGGACUUUGAAGAGAUGGUAACGUCUGAAGAGGAAUCGUCUGAAAAUAAAGACACAAUAAUAAGAAAGAAUUUGAAAAAAAAAUAUUUUAUCUGCAACAAAUCCACCUGAAUCAGAAAACACCCAGAAAAAGCCGAGGCUAUUGUUUGUUAAUUCCUUAAAGAGAAAGAAAUUAGAAAGGGCAUCUACUUCAAAAAGUCCAGAUAAUUUUAAAAUUUUUAUAAAAGCAACGAGACAAAAUAUUUCCUUAUA